GCCUGGCAGCAGCUCGGGCCUGCUGAAGAAUGAAGACGCAACAACAGGGGGAGGGAGAUUGGAAUGCUUCAGGAUCCUGAAAUAUGAUGUUAAACCUGAGCAUUUAUCCAAACAAGGUUAAGGUCCUGAAAAGUUCUCAGUUACAUGGAAGUGGUUAUUUCCAGUCCUUUGUGGUUAUCAUUGGUGUUUCCUGGUUCAGAGCACCUCCAUGACGGCACCCAACAGUCUCGGAGCCAAGGUGAUAAGAGCAGGGAUGGACUCAUUAGCAUCAGCCAUGUGAAGAUGAUUGGAAAGUCUACUGGAGUAAUCCUUCUUCAUGGUAUACGGUACUAAUAUUUAGCCUAAAAGCUUUGGAUAUAUUUAAGAAAAAAUAUAUGGUGUUUUAUUAUGCAUAAAGCCAUUAAUGUUGUGAUUUUUGAAUAUGUGGGUUGUAAAUAGAUAUUCUGGUAUCUUGUUUC